CGAGGCAGCGGCCGAAGGUAGGGUCAGCGAUUGGGGUGAAGUCGUAACAAGGUAGCCGUAGGAGAACCUGCGGCUGGAUCACCUCCUUUCUAUGGAGA
rnacentral:rRNA from 1 species